rnacentral:rRNA from 1 species
AACAUAACCUUUAGCCACUAAACAAGUAUUAAAGGCAACGCCUGCCCAGUGAACAAUUAAACGGCCGCGGUACCCUAACCGUGCAAAGGUAGCGUAAUCAUUUGUCUAUUAAUUGUAGACCAGUAUGAAAGGCAAAAUGAGGGUUUGACUGUCUCUUAUAAUAAAUCAAUUAAACUGAUCUCCCAGUAAAAAAGCUGGCAUACCCACAUAAGACCAGAAGACCCUGUGAAGCUUAAACUAAACUAUUAAACCCUAUAAUAGCUACUUUCGGUUGGGGCGACCUUGGAAAAAAAAAGAACUUCCAAAUACAAUGACUUUAACUCAUACACCCAGGCACACAAGCCCAUUAAUGACCCAGCAUAGCUGAUAAUUGAACCAAGUUACUCCAGGGAUAACAGCGCUAUCUUCUUCAAGAGUCCAUAUCAAAAAGAAGGUUUACGACCUCGAUGUUGGAUCAGGACAUCCUAAUGGUGCAACCGCUAUUAAGGGUUCGUUUGUUCAACGAUUAACAGUCCUACGUGAUC